UUAAGUUAUUAAGGGCGCACGGUGGAUGCCUUGGCACUAGAAGCCGAUGAAGGACGUUACUAACGACGAUAUGCUUUGGGGAGCUGUAAGUAAGCUUUGAUCCAGAGAUUUCCGAAUGGGGAAACCCAGCAUGAGUUAUGUCAUGUUAUCGAUAUGUGAAUACAUAGCAUAUCAGAAGGCACACCCGGAGAACUGAAACAUCUUAGUACCCGGAGGAAGAGAAAGAAAAUUCGAUUCCCUUAGUAGCGGCGAGCGAAACGGGAAGAGCCCAAACCAACAAGCUUGCUUGUUGGGGUUGUAGGACACUCUAUACGGAGUUACAAAGGACGACAUUAGACGAAUCAUCUGGAAAGAUGAAUCAAAGAAGGUAAUAAUCCUGUAGUCGAAAAUGUUGUCUCUCUUGAGUGGAUCCUGAGUACGACGGAGCACGUGAAAUUCCGUCGGAAUCUGGGAGGACCAUCUCCUAAGGCUAAAUACUCUCUAGUGACCGAUAGUGAACCAGUACCGUGAGGGAAAGGUGAAAAGCACCCCGGAAGGGGAGUGAAAUAGAACCUGAAACCGUGUGCUUACAAGUAGUCAGAGCCCGUUAAUGGGUGAUGGCGUGCCUUUUGUAGAAUGAACCGGCGAGUUACGAUUUGAUGCAAGGUUAAGCAGUAAAUGUGGAGCCGUAGCGAAAGCGAGUCUGAAUAGGGCGUUUAGUAUUUGGUCGUAGACCCGAAACCAGGUGAUCUACCCUUGGUCAGGUUGAAGUUCAGGUAACACUGAAUGGAGGACCGAACCGACUUACGUUGAAAAGUGAGCGGAUGAACUGAGGGUAGCGGAGAAAUUUCAAUCGAACCUGGAGAUAGCUGGUUCUCUCCGAAAUAGCUUUAGGGCUAGCCUCAAGUGAUGAUUAUUGGAGGUAGAGCACUGUUUGGACGAGGGGCCCCUCUCGGGUUACCGAAUUCAGACAAACUCCGAAUGCCAAUUAAUUUAACUUGGGAGUCAGAACAUGGGUGAUAAGGUCCGUGUUCGAAAGGGAAACAGCCCAGACCACCAGCUAAGGUCCCAAAAUAUAUGUUAAGUGGAAAAGGAUGUGGCGUUGCCCAGACAACUAGGAUGUUGGCUUAGAAGCAGCCAUCAUUUAAAGAGUGCGUAAUAGCUCACUAGUCGAGUGACACUGCGCCGAAAAUGUACCGGGGCUAAACAUAUUACCGAAGCUGUGGAUUGUCCUUUGGACAAUGGUAGGAGAGCGUUCUAAGGGCGUUGAAGCAUGAUCGUAAGGACAUGUGGAGCGCUUAGAAGUGAGAAUGCCGGUGUGAGUAGCGAAAGACGGGUGAGAAUCCCGUCCACCGAUUGACUAAGGUUUCCAGAGGAAGGCUCGUCCGCUCUGGGUUAGUCGGGUCCUAAGCUGAGGCCGACAGGCGUAGGCGAUGGAUAACAGGUUGAUAUUCCUGUACCACCUAUAAUCGUUUUAAUCGAUGGGGGGACGCAGUAGGAUAGGCGAAGCGUGCGAUUGGAUUGCACGUCUAAGCAGUAAGGCUGAGUAUUAGGCAAAUCCGGUACUCGUUAAGGCUGAGCUGUGAUGGGGAGAAGACAUUGUGUCUUCGAGUCGUUGAUUUCACACUGCCGAGAAAAGCCUCUAGAUAGAAAAUAGGUGCCCGUACCGCAAACCGACACAGGUAGUCAAGAUGAGAAUUCUAAGGUGAGCGAGCGAACUCUCGUUAAGGAACUCGGCAAAAUGACCCCGUAACUUCGGGAGAAGGGGUGCUCUUUAGGGUUAACGCCCAGAAGAGCCGCAGUGAAUAGGCCCAAGCGACUGUUUAUCAAAAACACAGGUCUCUGCUAAACCGUAAGGUGAUGUAUAGGGGCUGACGCCUGCCCGGUGCUGGAAGGUUAAGAGGAGUGGUUAGCUUCUGCGAAGCUACGAAUCGAAGCCCCAGUAAACGGCGGCCGUAACUAUAACGGUCCUAAGGUAGCGAAAUUCCUUGUCGGGGAAGUUCCGACCCGCACGAAAGGCGUAACGAUUUGGGCACUGUCUCAACGAGAGACUCGGUGAAAUCAUAGUACCUGUGAAGAUGCAGGUUACCCGCGACAGGACGGAAAGACCCCGUGGAGCUUUACUGUAGCCUGAUAUUGAAAUUCGGCACAGCUUGUACAGGAUAGGUAGGAGCCUUUGAAACGUGAGCGCUAGCUUACGUGGAGGCGCUGGUGGGAUACUACCCUAGCUGUGUUGGCUUUCUAACCCGCACCACUUAUCGUGGUGGGAGACAGUGUCAGGCGGGCAGUUUGACUGGGGCGGUCGCCUCCUAAAAGGUAACGGAGGCGCUCAAAGGUUCCCUCAGAAUGGUUGGAAAUCAUUCAUAGAGUGUAAAGGCAUAAGGGAGCUUGACUGCGAGACCUACAAGUCGAGCAGGGUCGAAAGACGGACUUAGUGAUCCGGUGGUUCCGCAUGGAAGGGCCAUCGCUCAACGGAUAAAAGCUACCCCGGGGAUAACAGGCUUAUCUCCCCCAAGAGUUCACAUCGACGGGGAGGUUUGGCACCUCGAUGUCGGCUCAUCGCAUCCUGGGGCUGUAGUCGGUCCCAAGGGUUGGGCUGUUCGCCCAUUAAAGCGGUACGCGAGCUGGGUUCAGAACGUCGUGAGACAGUUCGGUCCCUAUCCGUCGUGGGCGUAGGAAAUUUGAGAGGAGCUGUCCUUAGUACGAGAGGACCGGGAUGGACAUACCUCUGGUGUACCAGUUGUCGUGCCAACGGCAUAGCUGGGUAGCUAUGUGUGGACGGGAUAAGUGCUGAAAGCAUCUAAGCAUGAAGCCCCCCUCAAGAUGAGAUUUCCCAACUUCGGUUAUAAGAUCCCUCAAAGAUGAUGAGGUUAAUAGGUUCGAGGUGGAAGCAUGGUGACAUGUGGAGCUGACGAAUACUAAUCGAUCGAAGACUUAAUCAA
rnacentral:rRNA from 1 species